rnacentral:misc_RNA from 1 species
AACUGAUACUACCUGCGGGAACCUGCGGAAGGAUCAUUACUGAGUGAGGGCCCCUCGGGGUCCAACCUCCCACCCGUGUUUAACGAACCUUUGUUGCUUCGGCGGGCCCGCCUCACGGCCGCCGGGGGGCUCCUGCCCCCGGGCCCGCGCCCGCCGAAGCCCCCCCUUGAACGCUGUCUGAAGUUUGCAGUCUGAGAAACUAGCUAAAUUAGUUAAAACUUUCAGCAACGGAUCUCUAGA